rnacentral:lncRNA from 1 species
UGACUGUACAGAUGUGAAGUUUUUGAUCAGCCAUCAUUGUUUUAUUAAAAGGUAAGUUUAUGAUUGGGGAACCCCCAUCUAUUUAUAGUGUCAAUUAUCGAUUUUGUCUUUUCUUCACCAGUUUACAUGUGUUUACUUUAAUUUUCAACAGGUGAAUAAUUAUCGGUAGAUUUGCUGUACUUUUAGCAUUAAAUUCAUUAUACUUUCUACGUAGUGCCCAGUGUUAUAAGUAAUCCUACAAAAAAACAUAUUAAUAGUGUUCACAUUUUAUCACAAUAAUUAGAUACACAGUAUCAUAAAUGUUUAACGUAGCGAUAUUAUAGAAAAUAAUAUAACACAGUGAUAUUUUCACGUUUAAAAAUGCAUGCAGCUUUACACAGAGCGACUCGCCUUACGGGUCAUUAUUUGGGUCAACAACGUGACUUUGUUUGCAAACUGAGCUGUGACAAACGUAUACCACACACAGUUUGUGAAUAAAAUUGAGAAAUAAAUUUUACUUCAUACAAGAAAAUUAUAAUUACAAUGAUUAGUGAAAAAAAUAUUUACAUGAAUAUAUUACACAAUAGUUAUAUUUACAUAGUUUACAGUUGAUAAACAUAAUGAGUAGUUUAUGUAAAUAUAUACAUUUGUUUUUAUCAGUACUAUAUGUUGCUUUUGUCAGGUAAUAGUAAGGGUUUUAUUGUUCUCAUUCUCUAUUUUAUAUAUUGUUUUUUAUAACUGUUGAUAUGCUAAAAGAGUUAUUAUUUUUUCCAGGAAACAUAUGACAUGGUUUGCAGUAUGGAGUGGAUAUAUCUGUUUUCUAAUUUGGACUCAUAGCCUUGCAUAAAUUUGAAUCUAUGAGCAUAUAUGGUACAAGUGUGAGUCUGUAUGUGUACAUCGUUGUCAAUUUAAUUAUAAAUGUUGGUGUACAAAAGUGUGUCUUUAGCAUAUCUGUGUUUGAAAUUGAAAAUUGAUAUAUGUGUUCAUCUUGUGAUCUAAGAAGAAUUCUGAGGCACAUUUGGAUUAGUUGGAACUGUGCUGAGAAAAGUUCAAAGUUUAGUAAAUAUGUAAUUACCAAAAGUAUGAAUUUUGAAAUGUGAAUGGUUCUGUGAUACAUGUAUAUUGAGUGGUACUUAGUUCAACUGUACUGUGAAUGAGUUUGUUUUAAAUCUCAUGAACAUACAAAGAAUAAAUAUCACUGAAGAUGUAUUACAGUAUAAUAUUAAAUUAGUUCUACAUUUAUUUAUUUUCAAAUAAAAAUUAUUCAAACUG